rnacentral:rRNA from 1 species
GACGAACGCUGGCGGCGUGCUUAACACAUGCAAGUCGAACGGAAAGGCCCUGCUUUUGUGGGGCGCUCGAGUGGCGAACGGGUGAGUAACACGUGAGUAACCUGCCCUUGACUUUGGGAUAACUUCAGGAAACUGGGGCUAAUACCGGAUAGGCGCUCCUGCUGCAUGGUGGGGGUUGGAAAGUUUCGGCGGUUGGGGAUGGACUCGCGGCUUAUCAGCUUGUUGGUGGGGUAGUGGCUUACCAAGGCUUUGACGGGUAGCCGGCCUGAGAGGGUGACCGGCCACAUUGGAACGGAGAUACGGCCCGGACUCCUACGGGGGGAAGCAGUGGGGAAUAUUGCACAAUGGGCGGAAGCCUAAUGCAGCAACGCCGCGUGCGGGAUGACGGCCUUCGGGUUGUAAACCGCUUUCGCCUGUGACGAAGCGUGAGUGACGGUAAUGGGUAAAGAAGCACCGGCUAACUACGUG